rfam:Ictidomys tridecemlineatus contig055255, whole genome shotgun sequence.
GGGAUUGUAGCUCAGUGGUAGAGUGCUCACCUAGCACAUGUGAGCUCUGGGUUCGAUCCUCAGCACCA